UACGAAGGGUGCAAGCGUUGUCCGGAAUUAUUGGGCGUAAAGAGCUCGUAGGCGGUUUGUCGCGUCUGCUGUGAAAGCUCAGAGGCUUAACUCUGGGCGUGCAGUGGGUACGGGCAGGCUAGAGUGCGGUAGGGGAGACUGGAAUUCCUGGUGUAGCGGUGAAAUGCGCAGAUAUCAGGAGGAACACCGGUGGCGAAGGCGGGUCUCUGGGCCGGUACCGACGCUGAGGAGCGAAAGCGUGGGGAGCGAACAGG
rnacentral:rRNA from 1 species